rnacentral:rRNA from 1 species
AGUGAACGCUGGCGGUAGGCCUAACACAUGCAAGUCGAACGGCAGCACAGUAAGAGCUUGCUCUUACGGGUGGCGAGUGGCGGACGGGUGAGGAAUACAUCGGAAUCUACUUUUUCGUGGGGGAUAACGUAGGGAAACUUACGCUAAUACCGCAUACGACCUACGGGUGAAAGCAGGGGAUCUUCGGACCUUGCGCGAGUGAAUGAGCCGAUGUCGGAUUAGCUAGUUGGCGGGGUAAAGGCCCACCAAGGCGACCAUCCGUAGCUGGUCUGAGAGGAUGAGCAGCCACACUGGAACUGAGACACGGUCCAGACUCCUACGGGAGGCAGCAGUGGGGAAUAUUGGACAAUGGGCGCAAGCCUGAUCCAGCCAUACCGCGUGGGUGAAGAAGGCCUUCGGGUUGUAAAGCCCUUUUGUUGGGAAAGAAAAGCAGCAGGUUAAUACCCCGCUGUUCUGACGGUACCCAAAGAAUAAGCACCGGCUAACUUCGUG